GCCGCUUUGCUCCCUGCGGCCGCGGUGUGCUGAGCUCCUGCUGACGGGUUGGGUCACCGCGGGGCAGGGACAGGUAGGUUCGCGGUGCUUCCUUCUCUGGGUUCUAAGUGGUUCGAACGUUGGGAGGUGCCAGUUUGAGGGUAAGAAUCCCAUAUAAGCAUCACACCUCAUCCCACACAGCCCCAAACGCCAUUGGACUUGCACGCUGUUGUACGACAAAUGCAGGAAGCGAAGAAUCCUAGGGAUGUAAGAUGUAGAAAACAAAUAUUAAAUCAAACAUGCCAUUAAAUAUAUCCCGGUUUGUUCUCCAGGAUUUCACUAAUAUCCAUCGGAGCCCCAGUGAGGAUCUGCCUUGAAACAGCCCUGCCUUUCCAACUCCUCUGUCACUAAAGCAGGGUGAUCGCAGGGAUGGUUUGAGCUUGGCAGAGAUGGUAUUUCGUGUUGGAAGACACUUGAUAACAAAAAGGCACUGCAGGGUUGACAAGCAUAGGAGUAACGCUCAGGAAUGUUCCCAAGAGCCUUUGGCAGAGUUCAAAUGUUACACUAAAAUAAGCUCAAGUGGAUGAACAUGAAGAAGGAGAGUCCAGGCAAAUUAGAUCUAUUACAGUAGACAUAAAGCAACCUCCUGGGGUUUCUUCAGCAUUUUAGGACUUUCUACUUGAGAAACAUUACAGUGUCUGUCUCCUUCUUCGUGCAGUGUGGUCAUUCCAUGCUUAUUUUUAACAUCAUGUUGAUUUCUGUAGUAAUAGAUGAUGAUCUCACCGCAGGGAGAUGAAGCAGAGAGGAAGUGCUGUUGCAGAGGGAGUUUUUCUUGGAAUAUCAGUAGGAAAGACAAGAAAAGAAUGCUGACUUAACCUCAAAUAAGGAUGUCGUUUUUAAUUCUUACAGAAGGAUUUAUGUGCUGAUUUUCUGGGCUUUAUGGCGAGAGUCUUCAUUAGAAAUGUCUCAGGUGGUUUUGAUUGAGCUGCAGGGAGAAGUAUUUUGAAUGGAGAGUCUGUGUGGAAUCUUCUGAUAGAUGCCAUGCCCCUGGUCUGUGGGAAUUCUCAGUCAGCAUAUUGCUAUAUAAAGAGAAAACAUGUUUUCAGUUGUUUGUACUUUUUUUUUCUGAUGAAGUGUUACAAUUUGCAUGUGUUUGGUCUUUUGAUAUCGCAGGCAGCACAUUUUUCUGUAAUGAUGCAGCAAAAAGCAUGUCUCCUUGAGAGCAGACAUGCAUUUUUGUGGCUUGAAAGAGCAAUUGUUUACUGAAAAGCAAUGCACAGAGCAGUGUAUACAGAGCAGUUACUACAGGCAGUGGUACCAGAUGUCACAGUAGCGAUUCUGAGUUCAGCAUCAUUAAUGAGGAGUUAAACAAACACUCAGGUUACGUACAUUUUUCAUUAUAGACCUUUAAUUAGAAGGCAAGAAAUGAAAUCACAUUGAACUUUUGCUGUGGAAUGGCUGCAGUUACAAAAUAGAAAUUGAUUUAUGAAUCGAACCUGAACAAAAUACUAUUGAAGCUGCUGUAGAGCUUGUUCCAUUAAUAGUGUUUCAACUGAAAUAAAUAAAUGAAGUAGCACUGGAACUCCCUUUCAAGGUAUUUUCUCUGUUUAUAAGGUAGACUAUUAUAGAUUGCUCCUCAUAUGUUAUUCAACCUGCUGAUUUACUCUCCCUUUCCUCUAAAAAGCUCUCUUUAAAACUGUUUUACUCGGAUGAGGCAUUCAGUGAGAGAUCAUCACCUGAAAAAGUGUAUCUGGGAUGAAUGUGCAGAUCUGUUGUAUAGAAUAUCUCAACGUCAAGUUCCUGCAGUGAUUUGCAAAGAGUUUUAAGAUUUCGUGGAUUUUAAGGAGCUCUGUUGAACUCAACAUCAUUCAGAGUAAAGCAAAUUUUCAGUUGCAUUCAAAGCAAUAGGUAAAAGUCUGCAUAGGUUAAAUGCUAGAUGCUGGGAAUCAUUCUAAGGCUUACUUUAAGAGAAUACCUGAAAUAAUUACAAAGCUGAGUGCAUGCAGACUGUAUGCUGAAUAUAGUUAUCAAAUUAUUCAAUUAACUUUAGUAGAAUUCAGUGGAAUAAUAAAGGACUAUUAUCAGACUCCCUCCAUAAGGCUUUUGUAUGCCUAGUAAAACAUUUACUGAAUUACUUGCAAAAGCAAGCAGUGUUUUCCCAGAAAUCUAGAUUUCUGACUAAAUAUAAUCUUUUGCACACAUCUGAAAACAUCUGUUUUCAGAGCAGAUUUGUUAAUUUACCAAACUAUUGAAAACAGUGCUCUUUUCACUUCCUCUCUGCUGUUUUGGUCACUGAAUUCUUAGUGAAGACUUCUAGAGGUAAGCACUGGAAUGUCGUGUUUUAUGUUCAAAAUGUAUUUAUGGGACCUUUUCUGUAAUUACUAUGGAUUUUUAUUCAUCUUAUACUUCAAUAUUUUAGUAGUAAUGUGCUGAGCAGUUUCCAAAGAUCAGUUUGUUGAAUAAAAAAUAAGGAGAAGACACAAGCAUUAUUUUGACCUAUAUUAUUUACACGUAUACAAAUAAUGAAAUAUAUUAACAGUGUCUAUGAACUGAGAGUUCAUUAGAAACUUUUUUUUAAAGUAAAGUGAAGCUAUCAUCUGAAAAAGGGAAUUUAGAAAUCAGUUGUACUUUAGAAUGUGAAAGUUUUAUAUUUACAUGGUGUGGUUAAUUUUCAUACAAAGCUUUUCGUUAUUAUUCCACUGUAAAAACAACUAGGGAUGUAGGUGGUGUUAUCCUUACAGACUUGACAGACAUCACAGAACUGUAGAAUUAACAUGCUCUUCAACAGAUUUGUUUGGUUUGAUGCAUAUAAAAAUACUAGCAACUAAUGUAGGCUAAACAUCAUUCUAUAAAGCUCAGUUUAAAAUCAUGAGCUGUUCCAUGUGUGUUAUGUAUCCCCCCAAAAAAGAUUGUGUAAGUGCUUGUUGAUUUUACUGGUGACACACAAACCACAUAAAGGAAAUCACCUCACUCUUACGUAGCCGUGCUGAGUCUGCAAAACUGACAAGCAGUGUCUAAAUUAAGUGUAAGCAACUGGAUGUGAUUUAUUUUUGUUAGUAUGCACUCAGAUGUUUUUGUUAGUCACUUUUCUGACCAUCCAUAUAUUAUUUUUAAGUAGAUGUCAUUAGUAUAGAAAGUUUAAACGUGGCUUCUCAGUACAUUUAGAUUUUAUAACACACUGAAAUCUAAUUUAUUAGAUGUGCCCUGUGCCUGACAGCACCACUCGGCUUAUCUUGACCUACUACAGAGUUCCCGUUGGCUGUGAAGAGAUGAACAAGUUAUUAACAUAACUAAGACAUAUCUACUGCAGUUUUUUGUUCUCUUUGGUGAAUAUGGAAAGAGUUUAAAUAUUUUUUUUAAUCUUAGGUUCCUACAUGAAGAAACAGCUCCUUUACAAUUCUCUUGUAAUACUCAACUGCACAGAUUCACCAUGUAGUGAGAACAGCCCUUAUCUCAUUUUCUCCAACAGCAAAGCUGACCCUCAGCAUUUAAAACCAAAUGGAGCAACAGAGCCAGCUUGAGAGAGAUGCUUCCUUUCCAUUACAGCUGUGCUCGCAUUCUGCUGCUUGCUGCUUCUGUCGUUAAUCCGUAUCUUACUUUGAGGGGGGAAGUGGAUGCUUCCUUCAUAUAAGUACUGUCCCAUUAGAGAAGCAGGACACUGAAAUUGAGAUUUUAAGUUUGUGAGGCUCUCCCACUUUUUUCUUCCUUUUCAGAGAUGGUCAAAUUUGUUUGUUGCUCGUGAAAACCAGUCAAAAGUAUGUUGGAAUCUUCCUUCUGAAUUAAUCACCAUCACUUUUGACCUAUUUUUUUCUUUUCACGUCCUAAGCAGAUGCUGUUGGCUUCAGUGAUUGGAAACUAUGAAUGCUCAACAUUUGUGAGAGAAAAAGCCAGUACAAAUUAAACAGAUUGGGUUUAGUAAUUCCACUUAGUAAACUGAAAAAUCAGCAUAUGCUUUGGAAGACUGGAAAUUAAGUGAUAUUUGCCUAUAAUGUACAUGCACCUAAGAUGUAGGGCAAAAAAUGCUUUUCCAAGUUAUGGUUAGAACAGUAACCCCAAUCCCUGAAAUUUGGGACUAUCAAUGGAAGUUCCUGCUCUUAAGAUAUCAGAGAAAUGCUAUGUUAACAGUUCAAACACUGGAAAACAAUGGCAAAAAAAUGUGAAAAGUCCACAGAAAAUUUCACAGUACAUCAUCUAAAUGAAUGGUAAUUCAAAGUAAUUCUUUUAAAUUCAGUGCAGUUGACACCCCACUUUACUUGUCUGUAAAAUCUAACCCAUUGAUUCAUCUUGUGUUUGAUCAUUUACUUUAUUCAGGAUUGUGAGAUAGCAAGUACCUCUCCAGCUGAAUUAGAAAAUAUUGUAUUUAUUAAACUGAAAUUGAUAAUAGCCUUACAAAUGCACAUUCCAUUUUGGAGCUUGAGGAUACCUGGAUUUUGUAGCAGAUUUAUCACUAUGUGCACCUCGUGUUGGAUUUGCCUGAGGGUUAUGGCAGCUCAAUCUCUAUGAAGUAGAAGGAGGAAAAAGCGGGUUUUUAUGUUUCUAUAGCUGAUGUACAGUCCUGAUAUUAAAAAAAAACUUUGUAGAAUUCUGUAUGUGAUGCAUAAAAAAGAUUGUAUGCAACUUCUGACUUUUUUUUUUUUGCUGUUUUCCAUCUUUUCACUGUUGUUUUGUUUUGCUUCAGAAAAAUCAGAUGUACACUACUCUAAUUACUUGAAUUACAAGACCAGAAGUCAAAAGUACUUAAACAGUGAAAAUAGAGACGAUCCAAGAGGCAGGACCUGCCUUCUUAAUAGGCUGAGCAAAUGUAGGAGUACCGAAGGCAAAGAUGUCACUCCAAAUGUAUACAGUGAAUUUUAAUUCCAAACACGAUUUAAUUCUGAUGAUUCAUAUCUAAAUAUCUUGUCCUCCCAUUGACCGCUCACAACAACUCAGCUAAAAAGAGACAGAACACACAAACUGGAUUAUAUUUUCUUGUGCAGACUUGUUUGUUAGCAUUCAGAGAGCCAAUUGAUUACUUACACAGUUUCAAAUUAGCUUUUUGUCACCAAUGGAGUCACUUUUUUUGUUUGUUUGUUUUCUGAAAAGAAUUACACAAUUGUAAUGAGGACACUUUUGCAGUGAUGUUACGCUGCAUUACGAGAAGUGAAGCGUGCAUGAGAAGUAGUGCUGGGUUACGACAGGAGCCAAGGUUGGAUCUGAGCGCCUGGCAACUUGGGGAAAAACAAAACAAGCAAAAGAUCUGAAAGUUUAAAAUAAAACCACAAACAAACUCAAAAAAUAAAAACCAAAGCAAAACCUACAGAACUCACCACCCAAAUAUUAAAACAUCCUCUCGACGUGACUGCAAAAAGCACAUCUGGUACCAGAAUAAGGCACAAUAAAUAUGAUUUUUUUUAUACUGGUUUACAGGGCAAAAUCAUAGCUGAGGUGACACCUUCAGUUUUUAUGCAGUGACUAAGUUUUGCUACUUUGUUGUACACAUCAGAUUCUUUUAUUUCCUAAGACUUAAAAUUAAUAUUUUUAGGAUUUAUUAGUAAAAUAAAUUUUACUCACGUAGGAUUUAUUAGGAAAGGUUAAUCAACCAGUUUAAAAAUUCUUCUAAUUGUCAACAGAAACUAAAACUUUUGUUCAUUUGUAUAUAAAAUAUGCAUAUGUACAUGCAAUAUUACAUACAUGCAAUAUGUGUGUGAAUAUAUAUAUAUAUAAAUAUAAACAAGCCGGAACAUCAAGUACUACUAAAUGAAGAAUUAAAUCUAGUCUAAGUGGAAUCUCAUGCAGGUUACAAUGUCUCAUGACAAGCAGUUACUCAAAUAACCAUUUGGAGUCCUUGGGUUACUAACUUUCCAUGUCUGCUUUACUUCAAAACCUGGGAGAAGAAUUGUAAAGGGCCGCCAGAGCAGCAUAAGUGUGUGCUGACUUUUCAAGCUUUGCCUGUUUCCUGUGGGAGAUACCACAGUUCUCAAUUCCUGGUAAGAAAACCAUCAAGGUUCAUUUUUAGAACAACCAGUUCUGCAUCUGCAUUUAUGUACUUUUAAGUUAUGGAAAGGAUGUUUUUCUGGGUUGCUUAUAAUAAAUGGUACCGGACAUAGCCAGUGGGAUGAUAACAGUUGUGUAACCUAAGGCUAUGGUUUGAUGCAACUGAAAUUUAGUUGCUUGAAACUAAUUUGACUGUUAUGUCAUUGACAUGUGUAGUGGUAUUAUGUCUGCACUGUAACCUCACGCAGAGAAGACAGAGGAAAAGGUGGCUUGCCAACUAUAUGUAGUUAUUGUUAAAAUGUGCACAGUGUUUUCUCACAAACAGAAAGAAAAAGCCCUUUCAUGUUGCACAAGGAAAAUUAAUAGAAACUCUUCAUUGAAGUUAACUAUUUGAGGGUUGUGUUUGUCCAUCCACUUACAGGAGUAACAUCCAGAAGGGCUUCAAAGGGAUGGUUCUGAAACAGCCACUUGAGAAAUGAUUGUGAUUAAGAAAAGAGUUUCGAGGAAGAUGUUGAUAUUAGUGCAUCACAAUCAGCAAUCAGUACAUUCAUCAGUUUAUACGAACUAAAAUUCAUCUAGCCUUUUGUUAGAUAUAAUUAUUUUACUUCCUUCCUGCAUUUUUGGCAACAGCAUAUAAGACUAAGUAAUAAAAGUGGACUAAACUGUUUCACAUUCAACUUGGCCAUGCAAGGUUAAGAUGAAGAAUGCGAGAGUUCGGCUUAGAAAAAACGAUCUCAAAGCUUUUGAUUUGAAAUUAUUUCUUUGAUAACGAAUUGCACAAAAAAAGUUUAGAACGUAACACACAUCAGCGGCUCCCUGAGCUGCUCUGCUGCGUGCCCCUGACUGGCAGAGUGCUUAUUGUGCACAAGGUCAGAGUCUGGGGGAAGGCACUGAGGCCCCCCACGUGCCCCAGCAGUGGGAUGGCAUCAAGGGCAGGGUGCCAUUACUGGCUGGGCACCCUGUGAGCCAGGCAACUGGCCAAAACUCCAGGACUGGAUGGUUUAACACUGAAGAGACAAAGGAGAGGAGCUGGCAGAGGCUUAGUAAAGGUAAGAUAGGAGAGAAGUAACAUGCAAAGUAGAAACUAUUAUCCCUGAGCAGCCACUGCAAACUGCUGCUGUUGGCAGUCCCUCAGCACUUGGCAGGUAAGGUCAUAAAGAUGUGGUUAUACAGAAGACCCAGUACUUCUGUCCCUAAUGCUGGGCAGUACCACUACUCUCAUUGCUCAAUACCGUGCUGUUUUCUCCACAGGGCUGCCAUUUUCUGAUCCUUUAUUUUGUCUCCUUUGCCUUAGUACUGUGAGGUCUGAUUUUGAGACUUAAGUUCAGAGUGUUGUUAAUAACAUAUGUUUUCAGUGUUUGUACUUUUCCCUGUUUUCAAACAAUAUAUAUGAACAAAAAUACGUGUAAGGAGUCAGUAAGGUGAUGGAAAGUAAACAAUUCUCAUUUGAUUUAAAAAAUAGGAAUAUUUUGUGGUGAGCAAUGUACCUGAUCUGUUUCUCAUUCUUAAAGGAUCCAUUUCAUUUCAGUAAGGAAGCUAUUGGAGUGCAGUCAUUAUUCACAUCAUUCUCCUUUCCCACUGAAAAGCAUGUUCUCUGCAAGCAUUAGAGUCAAAUCUCAGUUUUCUACACUUUCACUAUUUCUAUCUUUGAUCAGCCUUCACAUUUGAGCAGACUUACUACUCAACUAAAUUAGCAAAACAAAUUCUUCCAUUGCAGCAAAAAUGGCAUUAGUUUCACUAACCAGAAGUAAAAUUACUAGUUGUCAUUAAUGGCCUUUAUUUUAUAGGAGUUACUACUUGCCUGGUUUAUCUUCUUGAAUAAUUAUACGGGGACUCUCUCUCAUUAUUUCCUUUGCAACACGUAAGAAAGGUUUUUACUUGAUCCUUUCUGCUUUGUUAUCAUGACGUGUCUGUACAUGAAUGGUGCAUCUGGAUUUAUGUGCAUGUCAAUCAGUGGUAAAGAGACAAAACAUUCAAAAAGAGUGAAUGUUUGAACCUAAAAUUUGGAGGUUUUAUUCAUGUUUGGACCAGGAGUGGUUUGAACACUGGUCAUGUUGAUGUCUCUGCUCCAGUCUGUGCUUUUAGUUUAUCAUCUAUCUGUUCUCUUUGCUCUGAGGCUUGCAUUAAGCAACCAGUGUUUUUACUUGUAUGAUGUUUGCUUUUCCAGUUUUGGUUUUAGAGACGAGAUGCUAUCCUGAAACAGCAAUUUCUCCUUUGAUCUCCAGAGAAAUAUCACUUUGCUUCUGAAGUUUUUCAAAGUUCUUAGAUUUGAACUUUCAGAUCCUGACCUCUGACUCACCCAGUGACAAUGAAUGCAGUUUAAAACUGGUGCAGUCCCCAUUAGUUCAGCAUCUCUCUUCUCAGGGAUAAAUCCCACCUCCCACAGAUGUUAUUCUAAAUGAAGUUUCAGAUCCCAGAGGACAAGUUGAGGUCAGCUGAGUUUUUCUUGCUACAACAGUUUGAGUUUAUGUAGCCCUUACUGUAAAUUGAAGUACAAAAUUGCAACUCUGAGAUUACCACUGCCUCCCCUUUCAGAGCCUUAAUUGUAUAUGUUGCUUGAAGAAAAUUAUCAGAAGAGGUACUUCUAUGAAGACUUGUCACUGUUUUAUGGUGGUAGGUGUUUUGUUGUUUUUUCUUUGUUUGUUUGGGGUUCUUUGAGGCAACUCUGGUCCAUUCUAAUAGAUGCACUCAUUGGUGAGGGAUAUAUUCUAUUAAUAAUUAAACAUAACUGUGCCGUGAGCUGCAAUUUGCAUUUGUUAAGCCAAACCGAAUGUCUCUGGCCUCUUAGGAAUAAGCAGGGAAAAACUUCAUGUAUAUGAAGUAGGAGUGUGGAAUCAAAGUAACCAAAUAAAUUGAAUGAGGUCGGAGAGGGAACAAUUGGAUAAUUAGAGCUUGAGAUUGCUUUGAAAUUACACAUGUUAACAGGUAAAGAUGCAAAAUAACAUUUUGCUUGGAGCAUUCUGAGCUGUUUGGUGGGAGCUUCCUUUUAGGUAACAAUUUUCACAAGUCAAGAAGUGUUUCAUGCCAGGCAGUAUUUCUUUGCUAAGAAGGGGAGAUAAUAGAAGGGCUCAUGCCAGUGGCUGUCACUCUUAUAGAUCAGAAUUCUAGAAUCUCCAAGGUUGGAAAAGACCUCCAAGGU